CAGGUGUCAGUUACUGAGGCCUUCCCCUGAAGAUAGGGCAGAGGAUGCUGGUAGCAGGUGACUGACUGCCACUGAUAAAAUCAACUCCACUAUAUUCUUUGUACCGGGCUAUAGUGCCCAAGGCCUCUGUACCCCACAACAGUGAUGGAGAGAAUGAAGUUAUCUACCAGGCAAUAUGUUGAAAUGGCUCAUUCCUCUUAGACAGAGGCAGAGAUGACAAGUUCUCCUGUGACCAUAACUGGGACCAGGUCUUUGAAGAUAUCUAAAUUCCUCAGGACCAGACCAGCUGCAUAACUUCCAGGUUAAGGAACAUUCAACUUCUGCUCAAUUAGGGACAUUCUAACAUGUUCAGGACACUUGCACUGGUCCUCUAGGCACCUUGGCAUGUGGCAGCCUAGCAAGCCUCACUGAUUGAGGGUUUGGGACUUGAUGGUGGACAUUGCGAAGCAGGUCUUGGACAGACAGCUUCAGCCAAUUGAGGCUUCUCUUCAGCUAGUCUUAUUGCCUCAGUCAGCACCAAUCACCAGGCCAACACAAGCCCCCCCCCCAAUAUCUGUGUCCUCCACUGCAACACCACCUGGCAGUGGAAAUGUUUUUGGCCGUGUGGACUGUUUUUGGGCACUACUCCUUUUCACCCCUUACUUUUCAUGUCCCCUCUUCUGCACCCUCUUACCUACUUCCCACCUGCACUACCCUUGUGUAUACAAACAUUGAAAAAAUAAGGGGAUCAGUGCCCUGCCAAAACCAUGAUACUCUUAUGCACAACUCACUUGAUAUGUUCCUGCUGUGUUGCACUCUUUGUUGUAUCUCCCCUUUUCCAGUCUUUCCAAAAUCCUCCUUUCCACUUUUUAUUGAAAACAACAGGUGUCCACAUAAGAAUGUCCCUAUACAAAACAUAUUAAACUCCUUUAUUUUUUUAAUAUUAAUAACAAAUGUUACAGAGUCCAUCACUUGCUUUAAGUCUUUCAAGCAUGACUGUGCAUAGCCAAGUCCAAGUUCACCUGCAAUAUCCAAAUACAUGCAAAGUCAUAUGAAGCUGUGAAGAUUGGGUGAAGAUAGGUGAAGGCUGCCAGCCUAGCCAGAUAGAAUCUUAUAGAUAAUUCU